GAUGAACGCUGGCGGCGUGCCUAACACAUGCAAGUCGAGCGAGAAGUUUAUGAAAGAUCCUUCGGGUGAUUGAUUAAACGGAAAGCGGCGGACGGGUGAGUAACGCGUGGGUAACCUGCCCCAUACAAAGGGAUAGCCACUGGAAACGGUGAUUAAUACCAUAUAACAUCAUAGUAUCGCAUGAUACAUUGGUCAAAGAUUUAUCGGUAAAAGAUGGCUAUGCGUCCUAUUAGCUAGAUGGUAAGGUAACGGCUUACCAUGGCGAUGAUAGGUAGGGGUCCUGAGAGGGAGAUCCCCCACACUGGUACUGAGACACGGACCAG
rnacentral:rRNA from 1 species